UACGAAGGGGGCGAGCGUUGUUCGGAUUUACUGGGCGUAAAGGGCGCGCAGGCGGCUAUCCAAGUCAGGCGUGAAAGCCCCGGGCUUAACCUGGGAGGUGCGUCUGGGACUGGGUGGCUAGAGUUCGGGAGAGGAGAGUGGAAUUCCCAGUGUAGAGGUGAAAUUCGUAGAUAUUCGCAAGAACACCAGUGGCGAAGGCGGCUUACUGGUCCGGUACUGACGCUGAGGUGCGAAAGCGUGGGGAGCAAACAGG
rnacentral:rRNA from 1 species